AGGGGAAGGGGGGGGGGGCUCGCGCAUAGAGGCGCGCCCGGACGCCGACGAGGCCGGCUGCUUCUUCUGGUGCUGCUGAUGGUGGCAAAGGGAGAGCUCCGCGCGCUCGCCUUCGUCGUCCCAGUCGUCUUGCAGGGAGAGCUCGAGGGUUUUGAGGAUAACAUCAGUGAUAGGGCAGGGCCUGGGAGCUCUCUCUCACUUGUGCAAAAUGACAGACCUGGAACAUGACACAGGAUUUGCCAGCACAUCCAAUUUAUCAACAAUUCAUCCCCGUCACACCAUAGUUCUGCAGCAGCCCAGAUUGAGAAAUAUCAAACUCAGAUGGCUUUAAAUUGAAGCAAAAGAACAAGAUCUUUGCACUGCCAUCAAACCAAGGAACAGAAGGCUUCAAAGACUGACUAUAUAGGCCAAUAAGAGUUGUCUUGGUGAAAUAUUUUACAGGUAAUCUCCUGUUAAGCACACACUGGAUUUUGCAGCCAAGAUAACAACAACAACAACAACAACAACAACAACAACAACAACAACUUCUUUAUUCUUAUAUCCCGCCACCAUCUCCCUGAAGAGAUUUGGGGCGGCUUACACAGGGAAGAGCCCGAACAACAACAUAGCAUGACAUUACAUACCCAAAAUUUGACAGCAAUUUAAAACAUAUCAAGACUAAAUAAAAUGACCUAACAUGACAAUUACUUUAAAAACCCAAGCAUCAAUUUUUACUCCAUGACAAAAGGUGACUAGUGAAGAGCUCAAGGGUCCAUAGGUAAAACAGAAUGAAUACAGGAGGAACAUGGGGCAGGUUCCAUUAAAGUGCUAUGUUGUAUGGAAUGCGGGACAGUGAUAAAGUGCUGUACAGUUUUGUAAACAUAGACAGAUAGCAAUCUGAUAACAAAUCAGGUGGGCUUAUUUAUUCAAACACAUUCCGAAACAUUCAUGUUUUCAGUUCCCAGCGAAAGAUGGGCAAAGAGGGAGCCAACCUGAUCUCCCUGGGGAGAAAGUUCCAGAGCCGGGAGGCCACUGCUGAGAAGGCCCUUUCUCUUGUCACCACCAACUGCAUCUGAGAUGGGUGGGAGCGAGAGCAGCACCUCCCCUGAUGAUUUUAGGGUCCGUGUAGGUUCGUAGGGGAGGAGGCGAAUACGGAGAUAGGCAGGUUUUGAACCGUUUAAGGCUUGAAUUGGGCCUGGAAACUUAUUGGUAGCCAGUGGAGCUGUUUAAACAAGAGGGUUAACCGCUCUCUUUAACUCUCUUUAUUAAUCUGGCUGCUGAUCUUUGUACCAACUGUAGUUUCCGAACCAUCUUCAAAGGCAGUCCCACAUUGCAGUAAUCCAGCCUGGAGGCAACUAAGGCAUGGACCACCAUGGCCAAGUCAGACUUCAUGAGGUACGGUCGCAGCUAGCACACAAGCUUUAACUGUGCAAAAGCCCUCCUGGCCACCGCCGACACCUGAGCCUCAAGCGUCAGCACUGAGUCCAGGAGGACUCCCAAGCUGCGGACCUGUGUCUUAAGGGGGAGUGUGACCCCAUCGAGCACAGGUUGCCACCCUAUGCCCCGAUCGGCCAUACGACUAACCUGGAGGGCCUCUGUCUUGUCAGGAUUAAGUUUCAGGAUGGCCCUAGCCCAAAUAACCAAAAUGGUAGCUGAGGGAGGGAUUAGUAAAUUGUACAACUUAAUAAAAGGAAAUUGAGUUUUCAUAAACAUUUCAAAAAAAUGAUUCAAAAUUGAAUCGACCACAUCUACAAAAUUUGUUCAUUUCUUUGAAAGUAUUUUAACCUAAUAUCCUAAGAUAUCAUCUCAUUUUUCUAAAAUACAUCAGCAAGACAUUUUGAUUGGAAUUGUAGAGUCCCUUGUUAAGUCCCUUGUUUAGGAUGAAACAGUUUCCGGUGUAUCGGUCUGCAUGAGAAAGAACAAGUCCAGUUAUGUAAAAAUAUGUAUAAAAUAAAAAAUGUCUUCAAAUAA